CCUGAACAUUGGUUUAAGAUGCCCUUUGACUCUGACUGGAAAGUUCCAUUCUGCCCGCAGUAGGACAGAAGACAUCUGAAAGACAAGUUAUAAGAGAUGGAGGGAUGAGGUCUCUAGUUCCAGGAGGGUACCCACAUAUGCUCCCCUACCUGGAAACUGCCGCCUGCAACACAUCUGUGCACGAACCCUUUGUGCUGAUGGCCCCAUGCUGGCUUUGGAGCUUUGUGGCACGUGUCAAAGUGGAGAGAACCGCAGGCCGAGAGUUGGGAGACGUGGCUCGGACACUUCCUUCCCCUGAGCCCGAUUCGCCCAUCUGUGACAUGAAGGGGAGGGGUUGAGGUGCCCUCCUCAGCUGAUAGUCUGUGAUUCUCUUGCCUUCUGGAGGCCAUGAGAUCUGCCUCUCCUCCACAGCUACUUACGGUGUCUCUACGAGUCUUUGUCUGUCUGCUUGGCACAGCUAGGGGCUGAGGUCUUCAGAUCUAGUCCGAGUGGGGUCAGCAAUGUGCGGUUUUUCAUCUAGACAUCAUUGCCCUUCAGAUAUUUGAAAUUACAUCCCAAAGAUUUCUGAUUGUUGAUCUAGGCACUCGUUGAAAGUCUGUGUGUCGUUUUCGCAAGAACUUGGCCAGGGUUAGGCAAGAAAGGGGAAGAGAUGGGGUGGGAGUAGGGGGGAGAGAGGCAGAGGUGACAUGAUCCGGGAGUUCCAGUAGGCACCUGACCGCGGGGACACUGGAGGGGUUGGCAGGACUUGGCAGAGUACAUUGGCUUAGCUUCUGUCCUGAGUCAGUGGGGAACUUCUGGAGGGUUCAAGCAGGGUCGGGAGACAUGAUCAGAUUUGCAUUGAGAACGCUCACUCUGACUCCAGUGGAGGAGGGCCCUUAUGAGAGGAGCAAGUUGGAGGCAGACACCAUCCUGAUGCCAAGAUCCAGGUGACAGGGACACCCUGCUGAGGAUGUGGACCUAAGGAAGGGGGUGGAGUUGAGAGAGGCUUGCCAGCCGACAGCAAAGGGCUGGAUGAUUGCCUGCCGGCCUUGGCAGGGGAAAGUGGACAGGAAGAGCUGGAAGCUAUGCUGGCACCUUGGGGACCAGAUGUGUCACUCACGGAGACAGAAUGGAGAAGAUAAGUGCUCGGACUCACAGGAAGUCCUAAGCUACAUACCUCAGUGCGAGCUGCUGUAGGACAUCUGGGGAGAUGUGUCCAGAGAGCAGGUGGAGGGAGGGUUCUGGAGUUUGGAAGAGGGGUGGGCCCACAAUGCAGGCAGUGUAUGUUCUUGAUAGAAGUGUUGUGGGAGGUGAGGCCCUGUGAGGGGGAAGAUCACUCCCGUGCCCUUUAGGUGGAGUGAGAAGACAAGAGGCUGAGGACACAGACAAGGAAAUCCUGGAUCCCCCACGAGUCCCUCAAAGACACAAGGUGGGAGACCGCCAGCACAGAGACUGCUACCAACACAGGGCAGGCCACGGGGAGCAGCAGUGGAUGUGUUUUCCGGCUGUGGUUCCUCCAGAUGGGGACUUUGUCCUCAGUGCACCUGGCUCUGCUGGGGUUGCUAUAGCAACCACAGAGGCAGGCACACUUGGUCUCUGUGUUGCCAUGGAAACGAGCGGUUGGGUAUCCCUGAGUGGCAGGGCCAUGGAGGCCUUGGGGAGUCAGUCUGGUCCCGAAGGGCUUGCAAGGGGGACUGUGACCAGCAGAGAGGGUUUCUGUGUCCUAGUGAAUCAGUGACGGUGGUUGUUAGUGUGACUGUUGCCACAGUGAUGGGGGGAGACACCGGCGCGAGCUUCAGUUCGGAGCCGAGUACUAUAAGGAACUGCAACAGGCUCCAGGUCUUUGUGUGCCGCCUGAAGCAGCCCCAGCCUCCAGACUCACCCCAUCGUCUGGCUGCCAUGGAGGGAAGGACCCUCUCCUUUCUUUCUGGGUUUGCACUCUUUUGCCGAGACAGGGAUUUUGUUCCCAGGAGGCACUCCCCGGCCCAUGGGAUCUCAGCAUUCAAAGCAACACAGGAAACCUGGGCCCCUGAAACGGGGCCACCGAAGAGAUCGGAGAACAACCAGGAGGAAGUACUGGAAGGAAGGAAGGGAGAUCGCUAGCUGUCCCCCGCCCAGGAUCCUGUGCCUCUUGCUUCCUGAUCCCUCCCAUGAGCCCAGGAGAGCCUGAGCACAGCCUCUGAACAAGGCCCACGUAUCUCCAUGGAAGCCUGCUGUUGCUGGGUGUGGGAGGAGCUUCCAGAAGCAGGUGGGGCAUUUUUGUUUGGGAGUGGGGAUGCUGGAGAGAGCAGCCGGGAGGUGGGCUGCUGGAGCCCCUCAUGGUGCCUGAGGCUGGGCCUAAAGGAAACCAAGGUGUUUAGCCAGCAGUCUUUGUCCCCUCCCUCCCACCUUACUCCCCUAUGCCUACCAGUCCUGUUACUUUCCCUGAAUCUCAGACCAGAGCCUGACCCCCAGGAAAGCAAACUGUUACCCAGGGAAGCUCACCCCAGCUUUCCCAACUCCUGCUGCCUGGAUUCCCCUCAUGCUCCUUGAUCCAGGGGGUAGGCUUAAGGGCUGGCGGGGGGGUCUUCCGUCUUGGAACAUGGAGGUGAUAUGGGGACGUGUUGAGUGUAUGAGCUCAGCCUACGGGGUGGCAUGUGUGGGUGCCUGUGAUAUGUGAGUGUGGAGAGGAGUAGAGGUAGGUGAUGGUAUAUAUGCAUGCGUGGCGUGUGUGUAUGUUUUGUGGAGGCCGAGAACUGUGUGUGGUAGGUCUGGAAUGAUGGGGUCGCGUGGUGGGUAAGGUGACAUAUCCAUUGAUACGUGAAUUGGGGGGUAAUAGGUAUUUGCUGGGGGGUGUGCAUGUUUGGAGCAUGCGAAGGCAUUUCAAGUACGUGCGCACGUAUGAGUAUUGUGUGGUGGUUUGGGCAGGUGGAUACUGGGUGUGUAUGAGACGCAGCUGGAGGCAAAUAUGUAUGCGGGGUGUCUGAGGUAAUGGAUGGGAGGCAGCUGUAUACACGUAAACUUGUCUGCGCGUGGCAUAGGAAGGGCUGACAUGUUAGUGUAUGUGGUGUGGCUUGGAAGGGGGAGGGCAAUGUGUGGGUUCAAGAUGCGUGCAUGGUACGUCUGAGGCGAUGUGUGUGUGCGUUGGGGGGGAUGCAAAUGAGCUAGUAUGUGAGUGGGCAGAGUGUGUGUGGAGAAGGGGAAGUGGGCAUAUAACCCUCCCUACACCUCAAGAGUUGGUGGGCAUGGUUUUCCCACUCAAAGUUGAAGAAUCUGAGGCUCACACAGGGGACCCCAUCUCUGGCAGCCCACAGCCUAGACUCUGGAGGGUGGGGGUUGGGCCUGGCCCCUCUGGUGGCCUGGUGGGUUACGGCAGGUCACGUUCAGUUCUUCAGGGUCACUGUCCUGCAGCUGGCCCGCGUGGCCUCCCCAGCCGUAGAGGAGAGUUUGUGCAAGCCAGUUGUUAAACGUAGCUGCUGUUAAGCUUAAACUAUAUACACUUAAAUAAGUGAAAAUAUAAAAUUAAGAUCUAAAGCAAAGGUGACAAAUACACAAAGCUCACCCCCUUUUUUUUUUAAACUGCAUUUGACUACAUCUGUGCCCUUGAGGUGAUUCGUGCCUGUUGUAUCUGUGCAGUGGAAAUAAUCUGCCCAGCUCUGCCUUGUGUCACACAACUGGCCACAGAGGGUGUAUUCACUCCAUAGUAGUCAGGAAAUGCUACAAAUGAAGACCGGAGGUGUUUUGUUGAUUAUCUAGAUCUACGAAAGAGAUGGGGGGAGAUGCUACGAGAACAGAUGAACUUCAAAGUGUAUCUUGUCUGUGGCUGCUAUACUGUCUUCACUUAUAUUGUAGUUUAGUAGUCUCCAUACCCAGUGUGGGGCUCAAACUCACCACCCUGAGAUCAAGAGUCACAUGCCCUUCUGAGCCAGCCAGACAUCCCUAGAUCAGUAAAAUUUAUAAUAAACUUACAUAUGUAUGCAUGCAAACAUGUUUUGGAGAGCUGAGUGUUAAACAUCACCGUUGAAAGCUCUCAGUAGGUCCUAGUUACUCACAAGCCCCCAACAGGUCUCCUUUAUCCUAGGUGAAGGAGGUGAAGGAGGGCAGGUGCAACUUGCAAAGGCAUUGGAGCAGCUUCCAGAAAAGCUGUGGCUUGUCACCAGCUCAGCUGUGACUUCGUCCUGGUCCUGGGCCAGGUGGUCAGAGCUCACCUGCAGCACAUUCAUUCUGUGCUGGCUUCCUAAGCCCCCUCCGGUGUCCUAAGCCCCCUCCGGUGUCCUAAGCCCACUGUGUCCGGUGCUGGGGAUUCACGGGUAGGGGGAAGAAGUGCUCACUGCCUGCCUAGAGCCCAUGGCCCGGGGGAGGACACACCGAGUCACAGCCAGUCAUUCCCUGGAGAGUGUGGGGCAGGCAGGAUAUACCUCGCCCGGCUGGAGAAGGAAGGAGACUGGGACAGGUUAGUUGGGCUGGGAGUGUGCCACCUGGGGCAGUGGUCCUUGGCACUGAGUGUGUAAGGGCUCUCUAUUAAACAUGCAGAGACUCUUUUGGCACGUCUAGGCAGGGCGGAGUCUGCGGUAUGCUAGGGGAUGGUGAAGGAGGUGGCCCUUAGGCCACAUUUGGAGAAACAUUGUUCCAGUGAACUGAGAGGAUGAAGUUCCUUUGGGAGGUGGGGGUGGCUGGAGCAAACCAGAGGCUGGCCAGCCUGGUGGGAGGGCAGAGAGGAGUAGGCGACAGAGGCGGGCAGCAGGCCGCGUGAAGGGGGUUGGAGUCUAUCCUGUAGAAUGAGGGGCCGUCGAUGGAUCCUUGUCAGCAGACAGGUGAUAGGCUCAGAUUGACUUUGGAAGGUGUAUGCGCUUAAAGAGGGCAGAACUGGAGGCAGGGAGCCUGGAAGAGGCUGGAGACACAUGAGGCCUAAACCCAGAGGCAUCGGAACAGGGGGAGGGGACCAAAAGAGGGCACCGUAGGUCCAACAAACUGGGCUAGAAGGAAGAGGAGGUAGGGUGAAUCUGGGCUUCUGGGCUGGUGAUUGAGUCGAUGGCGGGGCUCAUAAUGUUGCUGGAAACAGAAGAAGAGCAGGUCUGGAGUGAGAGACGUUGCGGUUUGGACCUGGAGACUUACUUGGUGGUUCUGGAGGAGUCCAGAGGCAUUAGGAACUCAGAGGAGCCACCAGGAAGUAGAUUUGGGAGCCCCUGCAGAUAGGUGGUGGGGCUCUGGGAGUGGAGAGGUCGCCUGGGAGAACACAGAACGAGAAGUGUCUCAGAGAGCCAUCCAGAUUUGGUCCUGAAGGGCCGGGAACCCAGGUGUUUAUCUUGGUCUCAUUUCUGGAAGCAGGUGGGUGUUGGGGGGCAGUUACCAGUCCUCCAUGCAGGAGAGCCGAAGAGUGGGCUGGAGAGGGUCGGAGGAGUUCAGAACUGUGGGCAGGCAGCUGGCUGUCUUCUGUGAGGAGCUGGGAGCCAUGAUGGUUAGGAGUCACAGGGCCCCAUUUUCAGCUCCAGUCCUGGCUCUGCUAUCAACUUGCUGUGUGACCUUUGGCAAAUCACUACUCACUCUGGGCCUCAGCUUCUCCAUCUGCCAAAGAGAAGGUGGGACCAGACCAGUGACUUUCAAAUGACAUUUGGAGCCCCAGGGCCACCCAGAAGUAUCCCCAGGGAAGUGCUGGGGGUAAGGGGAGCUCUCGGUGGGGCAUUCCCACCUCUGCCCCACCCCCAGCUUCAUCCAGAGCCACUUGCUUUUAUGUUUUCUAUGUUGGCUGCCGACUGAAAACCACUGGGUCAGAGGAUCCCAAGUCUGUGAAGCCUUGUCAACAUAGACACUGAUGGAGAAUGAAGAGUAAAUAAAACACAGUGAGAAAACCAAGUAUCCUGCUACAGCACUGUGUGGGCCUCAGCACCCAUUUGCCAUGUAGCAAAGUCAUGGUCAUGCCUAGUCACAUAGGACUCAGCCCUGCCUGCUUGUGGAUGAUUUCAGCCGUCAGUGCAGUUCAGUUUACUUCCUCCUCCUGGCUGGCGGGUCACCAGUCUCAGCCAUUAGUGUGUCCCUAGAGGAAUCUGUGUGACACCAGCCCUUCUCUACUGCUCCCAGGGCAAAUGCAGUGUGAGGUUGGCUGUGAAGCAGCAUGUCAGCUUCCCUGUCCCUUGAUGUGCUCUGUCCAUGGUCUCUACCUAGACAGAGCAAAGGUUCUCAGAACAGGACACAAAAAACACUUGGGCUGCUCCCAGAGCUUGGCCUCAGUGCUGAUGCCCACUGUUGUGCUGGAGGCCUCAGUGGGUAUUGCCCUGACUUCCCUCCAGCCCCACCCGGCAUCCCCCAAAUGCCCUUGACAGCCAGGUACUAUCAGCAAACUGGAGGCAAGGCUGGGUCCAGACUAGUUGGGGGGGGAGCAAUGAGAGGGGAGACCCUCAAGUGGGAACAGGAUGCCCUUCCAGUGCCUCCACGGGGAAACAGGCCUGUGUGACUUCACAUCCCCGAGAAGCCCAGGCAUGGCUCCCCUCCCUUGGGGUAGGAGCUCUGUAGGGACAGCUGCCCCACACCUUGGUUUUGGCAUCCUGCGGCAGGGGGUGCAGGAUGGGGGGCAGUCAACUUAGAGGAGCCAGAGAUCCCAUGCCCCUUCAGCCCAAGCUCUUGUCCCAGCAUAUACACCCCUCCCAUUGCUGGGAAGGUGGUUCAGCCCCUGACCCUACCCCCUAAGGGAGGGGCUGUGGUCUGUCCCUCAAACUAGAGCACACAGGGUUCCAGGCUCAAACUGUGCCUUUGGGGUGCUCCAGGCUCUGGGGUCUCUUGCUACCUGAGGAACUGUUUGGGGGAAGAGCUCAGCAGAAUGGCUUCCUCCCUGUGCUCUCCUUAGUAUCCUAGAUGGACUCAGAAAGUUUCUCCAAGGCUCCUGAGAAGAGCCCCCUCCAGCCCACCCUGGAGUCCCUCCCUGUUCUUGCCCAUGUUCUCAGGGUUCCCCAGACCACAGGGUCCACUUCAACCAGUUCUCGCUUGGCAGGGUGGUUGCAUGGGGGCAGGGGUGACGACUCUCGGUGUUUCCUGACAACAGGCUGGGGGACUCAAGCACCAAUGUGAAGCUGAAGAGUGUCGUGGAGACAGGGGGCGGUGAGACGGAGUCUGCCCAGGCCACGUCCGUGGCUGGGGUGUGGCCCUGGGCCUGGGGAGGGUCGCUGUUUGAGAGGAGGACGCAGCUUUAUAAAAUGACUCCGUAAGUAUGGCCUGGGCAGGCGGGGCCACAGGCCCCCACUGCCCCACUUGGGACAUGGGCAUGGACCAGGAGCACCUGCUGCAGGCGACCCUGCAGCAGGGAGUGGGGGACCCUGGAGAGAUGGGAGGCUGCUGGUGUCAAGGAAACACAAAUGCUUGGGCCAAGGCAGAGGCUGGCUCUGGGCCUCUGGGGAAUGGGGGAGGCCAGGUGCUCCCCAGUGUUCAAGGCCGCCGGGCUGGGGUAUUCCCUUGAGCAUUGUGUGUGUGUGUGUGUGUGUGUGUGUGUGUGUGUGUGUGUUCACACACAUGAGGGGCUGUGGUAUCUGCCAUGAUUUCUGACUCCAUUGGCCCAAAUUAAGAACCCUCUGAACUUAGAAGCCUAGGAAGGCAGGCCCAUGACUUCUUUCUUAGACAUCAAAGUCUCUAGAAAAGUGAUUUGUCUCAUGUGAACCUAUGGGAGGGUUUGAAAAAUACAUAUCCCAGACCCUACCACCAGAGUGUCUACAAUGCAGCCCAGGAAUCUCCAUUUUAACCCCCUGCCCUGGGUGAUGUUGAAGACUGCUGUAGCUGAGUGAGGAAACCAUUGCUCUGGAGGGACGCCUACCCUGGGCCAGUCUUAUUUUAGGCGUGUGGUGGCUCGGGCCUCUGCCUACAGAACCGUUAGACACUCAUGCUUUGACCCUUACAGAUGCUCUGACAAUCCAGAAUCUCACAUGAGGGGAAGACCCCAUGUGUUUUUCAGUAACCUCUUCCUGGAGCACAAGAAGAGAAAGCAUGGUGAAUGGGGCGGGCCCUUGAAGGAGAAGAAAUUCAGGAAGGGCUGGUCUCAGGAGGAAGGACCCUUGCAUCCCAGUGUCUGGGGCUAUGUUCACGGACCGGUGGCUCAGAGCCCAGGGCACCCAUGAGGCAACCCCUGCAUGGCCCCCCAUCCAGUCCUGUGGAGGAGCCUGGCUCUUUUAGGACAGACACGACUAAGAAUAGGGCUCAGAGAGUGGACUUCUAGAAGGUAGGCAUCCCAAGGAUAGUUGUGGAUUUUAGUUGGUGGAGUUGCUUUUUAACAUGUUUACUACAUUAAAAAAAAAAAAAAAAAAAGAAUCCACUUAAUUUAAAAU